rnacentral:misc_RNA from 2 species
AACGCACAUUGCGCCCUCUGGUAUUCCGGAGGGCAUGCCUGUUCGAGCGUCAUUACAACCCUCAAGCUCUGCUUGGUAUUGGGCUUCAGGCGUCAGCCUGUGCCUUAAAAUCAGUGGCGGUGCCGUCUGGCUCUAAGCGUAGUAAAUCUCUCGCUAUAGAUGCCUGGUGGAUGCUUGCCAUAACCCCCAAUUUUUACAGGUUGACCUCGGAUCAGGUAGGGAUACCCGCUGAACUUAA